UACGGGGGGGAGCAAGCGUUGUUCGGAUUUACUGGGCGUAAAGGGCGGGUAGGCGGCCACCGCAAGUCAGUUGUGAAAUCUCCGGGCUUAACCCGGAAAGGUCAGCCGAUACUGCGGGGCUAGAGUGCAGAAGGGGCAACUGGGAAUUCUCGGUGUAGCGGUGAAAUGCGUAGAUACUCGAGAGGAACACCUGCGGCGAAGGCGGGUUGCUGGGCUGACACUGACGCUGAUGCGCGAAAGCUAGGGGAGCAAACAGG
rnacentral:rRNA from 1 species